UGCAGUCGAACGAGCUUCCGUGUGAAUGACGUGCUUGCACUGAUUUCAACAAUGAAGCGAGUGGCGAACUGGUGAGUAACACGUGGGAAAUCUGCCCAGAAGCAGGGGAUAACACUUGGAAACAGGUGCUAAUACCGUAUAACAACAAAAUCCGCAUGGAUUUUGUUUGAAAGGUGGCUUCGGCUAUCACUUCUGGAUGAUCCCGCGGCGUAUUAGUUAGUUGGUGAGGUAAAGGCCCACCAAGACGAUGAUACGUAGCCGACCUGAGAGGGUAAUCGGCCACAUUGGGACUGAGACACGGCCCAAACUCCUACGGGAGGCAGCAGUAGGGAAUCUUCCACAAUGGACGAAAGUCUGAUGGAGCAAUGCCGCGUGAGUGAAGAAGGGUUUCGGCUCGUAAAACUCUGUUGUUAAAGAAGAACACCUUUGAGAGUAACUGUUCAAGGGUUGACGGUAUUUAACCAGAAAGCCACGGCUAACUACGUGCCAGCAGCCGCGGUAAUACGUAGGUGGCAAGCGUUGUCCGGAUUUAUUGGGCGUAAAGCGAGCGCAGGCGGUUUUUUAAGUCUGAUGUGAAAGCCUUCGGCUUAACCGGAGAAGUGCAUCGGAAACUGGGAGACUUGAGUGCAGAAGAGGACAGUGGAACUCCAUGUGUAGCGGUGGAAUGCGUAGAUAUAUGGAAGAACACCAGUGGCGAAGGCGGCUGUCUAGUCUGUAACUGACGCUGAGGCUCGAAAGCAUGGGUAGCGAACAGGAUUAGAUACCCUGGUAGUCCAUGCCGUAAACGAUGAGUGCUAAGUGUUGGAGGGUUUCCGCCCUUCAGUGCUGCAGCUAACGCAUUAAGCACUCCGCCUGGGGAGUACGACCGCAAGGUUGAAACUCAAAGGAAUUGACGGGGGCCCGCACAAGCGGUGGAGCAUGUGGUUUAAUUCGAAGCUACGCGAAGAACCUUACCAGGUCUUGACAUCUUCUGCCAAUCUUAGAGAUAAGACGUUCCCUUCGGGGACAGAAUGACAGGUGGUGCAUGGUUGUCGUCAGCUCGUGUCGUGAGAUGUUGGGUUAAGUCCCGCAACGAGGGCAACCCUUAUUAUCAGUUGCCAGCAUUCAGUUGGGCACCUUGGGGG
rnacentral:rRNA from 1 species